CGGCGGUACAAGAAGGAGGCCGUCGAGCUUUCCGUCUUGGCUCACAUUCUGAGGGAAUGAGGCUCCUGCCGUUGCGUCGUCUUCUCUGCUCUCUAAUGGCGGAAAGGGACACAUCGGCCGGCGUCAUUUCUUCCAGCCAGCCUCAUUAUUGCUGGGGGACCCUCUUGGCUUCGCCCAUGCCGACGACUCGCAGGGAACGUGACCUUCGUAAACAGACAAAUAGGGCUCCUGUCUCCGUUUCAGAUAAGCGAGGGACCGUCAGAAUGAAAGCAGCUGGGCAUUUGCUCUGCUUCUUGGCGUGGGGGAAGAAAGAAAACCAUGCGUCAGCUGGCUCUCGUGGCUUCUGUUUUUCUCAUUUUCUUGCAGAUAACUUGUUCGACGAUAUGUCUCGACGUAGAAAACCAGGCUAAUUGCCUGCGACGCCAAAUCAGUAAAACGAUAAUUGCAUUUUCUCUUUCGUUUCUUUUUGUUUUGCCUAAAUUAAAGUUUCGUUAAUCGAGGCGCAAUUCUCGGAGCUUCUGCUCCUUGAGGAAGGGGAUGAUAGCGACGUUCUCCUCGAGAAGCUUCUGCUCCAGGAGCUGGAUGCGGAGCAGGGACUCCUUGUCCUGGAGCUCCUCCACCAGGCGGAGCAGCUCGGCGACGUUGGGCAAGCGGAGUUGCACAGGAGCGGAGGCGCAGGGAAAGUAGAAGCCGAAGGACCGGGCGAAGGUGCUCCGACAACGCCUUCUUCAGCUCGUCCAACUCUGUCUCGAGGUCCCUUACCCUCCUCUCACUGCGCUGGCUUUCCUCUUCGCCGCUCCGUAUCUUAGACCUCGAACCCUCGCCUUCGUCCCGCAGCGCUCGGUUCUCCGUCUGCGGGCGCUCUUUCCGGUCGCCGGCCCGCGCGAGCUCGUCACCCUCGGUAGCGAUCUCCUUCAGGAGCUCCUUUACCAGGCGGAGCAGCUCGGCGACGUUGGGCGAGCGGAGUUGCACCUGGGUGGAGGCACAGGGAAAGUAGACGCCGAAGGACCGGGCGAAGGCGCCUACGGCCUCGUCAUCGGAUGACCGGCGGGGCACGUCCGUUCUUGUUCGGGUCGUCUAACGAAGAUUUGAUUCAGAUGAAACAAAAGGAAACAGAGAAGUUGUAAUUAUCGAUUUUGCGUCAAAUCACGUAAAUUAGUUCUGGGAAAACCCUGAAGGCCAAGUGGAAGAACGUUUAGAAUGAAAACUCCGGCAUUUGCCCGCAGUCUGCGGUGGCUGAUCGAUGCUGGUGAUGGGAGUUGGAGUCGUCUCUCAACCGAUGGGGGCCCUCCUGUCACGGACAAACUUCGAAACAGGGUGUUUGAG
rnacentral:lncRNA from 1 species